rnacentral:rRNA from 1 species
UACAGAGGUCCCAAGCGUUGUUCGGAUUCACUGGGCGUAAGGGUGCGUAGGCUGUCGGGUAAGUCUGAUGUGAAAUCUCACAGCUUAACUGUGAAACUGCAUUGGAUACUAUUCGGCUUGAGAGUUGGAGGGGGGACUGGAAUUCUUGGUGUAGCAGUGAAAUGCGUAGAUAUCAAGAGGAACACCAGUGGCGAAGGCGAGUCCCUGGACAACUUCUGACGCUGAGGCACGAAAGCUAGGGGAGCAAACAGG